rnacentral:rRNA from 1 species
AUACGGAGGACGCGAGCGUUAUCCGGAUUCAUUGGGUUUAAAGGUGCGCAGGCGGCCGUGCAAGUCAGCGGUGAAAGCCCGGGGCUCAACCCCGGAAGUGCCGUUGAUACUGCGUGGCUGGAAUGCGGUCGAGGCGGGCGGAACGUGGCGGGGAGCGGGGGAAUGCGUAGAUAUGCCACAGAACGCCGAUAGCGGAGGCAGCUCGCCAGGCCUGCAGUGACGCUCGGGCACGAAAGCGUGGGGAUCGAACAGGAUUAGAUACCCUGGUAGUCCACGCCGUAAACGAUGGGCGCUCGUCGUCGGCGACAGACAGUCGGCGGCCAAGCGAAAGCGAUAAGCGCCCCACCUGGGGAGUACGGUCGCAAGGCUGAAACUCAAAUGAAUUGGCGGGG